UGCUCUUCUUGACAUUGUAUAAAUCAGUUUCGUCAGACUUACUCAGAAAUAACAAAAUCCAUGGCAUAAUCAGACAGAAACAGAUUUGCAUUUUGAAAAGCAUGCAAUCUGGAACAAAUGUGCUUUGGAGGGCUUUUUUUAGAUGUGGGUGUUGUGAGGCAGACCGCGCCACAGAGGUGGAUCUGUUUAUGACAGGGAACAACUGCCAACACUGUCAUUAUUUGGCAGGUUUCAGCCGAGGAGCAGGACUGACUGCUGGGCAAGUGUGUGUCCGACCAACAUCCAGCUCACUGGCGGAUACACAUGAACCUCUGACAGGAGGUGGGUGUAAAGAAAUCUCUCUGGAACAGCUUCCUAACUCCAAAACCACUAAACAAUGCACAAGUUCCUGAGCGACACCACAUUACUUCCUUGUAAUGCCUAAUCGACACCACAGUCUGUCAGUUUGAUGUUAGCUGCCAUGUUCAUGUUUGUAUCAUUCAGUCGGUGUUUUACUUUUAGUAAAACUAUGAACUGGGGAAAAAAAUAAAUAUGUGCAUUUGAUGUAGUCCAUAUUAAUUGUAGUGACAGAUAAAUAAAUUAAAUAUCAACUCAAUGUACUUCAUUCUCAUUACGCAGUGAUUUAAGGAAGCAAUCAAGUGCUCAGAUGAACUUGACAGGUCACUUCAUUCCUUCAUCUGUCACAGUCAGGCUCAGGAUUUUGUAGGUCAGUGAGUAAAUGUGUACAUCACCAAUUAAACAUUAAUUGGGAAUCAUUGGCGUAGUGCUAAUGCUUUUGUUUUGUGUGUUCUGGGUUCUUUGUGGGUCACUAGAAUAUAUUUUUAUUUUAAUCAAUCUAAAUUGCAUCAGGAGUGGGGAGACAUUUGUUUGCAUUUGGGUUGCAUUUAUUUUUAUAUUUAUAUUUUAUUUUGUAUAUAUUAUAUUAUAUUAUAUUUUUUAUUAUUUCAGAAAAUAUUUCUUAUUCAUUUCACUUUAUAACUUUUUUUAUUUUAAAUGUUUCUAAAUUAAUUUUUAAUUUUAAGAUUAAUCAAAUGUAUUAUGUUGUUUUGUGUUGUGUUGUGUUGUUUGUUGUUAUGUGUUUGGUGAAUUACUGCAUUGUGCGCUUGUCUAUAGCCACAAUCCGUGACUAUUAUAUUAUAUUAUACUGACAUGUAUUAUUAUUUCAGAAUAUAGCCAAUUUUCUUAUUCAAUUAACUUCAUAAUUAUUUUUUUUUUACUUUUUUAUUAUUUUAUUUUAAAUGAUUCCAAAUCACUUUUUAAAUGUUUUUAAUUGAUUUAAAAUUAAUAUAUAUAAUUUUUUGAGAAAUUAUAUUAUGGAAAUGUUUUCUCAAUAUGUUUCUUAAUAAUAUACAUCAUAACAUUUUUUUUUCCAAUUCCCUUCUGUUUAGUAUAGUAUAAUACAUUUUGAAUAUCUGAUUUUCUGAUUUCAGUGUGGGUUUUUUAUAUACUAUUUGCGCAGGUGUGCAUGUCUGUUUGCUGAAAUUGCUUAAUUUUAAGAUGGGCUAAUUGCUUUCAUUGAACUUCAACCAUAGUUUUAAAUUAGAAAUGAUCAGAAGCCCUUCAUUACAGCUGUAGCGAUUUGUCUUGUGUGAGAGGAUGUUAAAAUUCAGUACUGAGCUGAAACAGUCUUUAUGACUUCAUAUAUGACUUCACAGCUUCAAAAUUCCACUCUGAUACAGCCUGAAUCUCUCUCUCUCUCUCUCUCUCUUUCUCUCUCCGUCUACCUCCACUCACUCGCUCGCUCGUUCUUUCUGUCUGGCCAAGCCUUGGGUAGAAAAAUGUAGCAUAGCUUUGACAGCUAUCCCUGAUGGUUAUUUUUGGAUUCCAGGAGAAACUAUCA
rnacentral:lncRNA from 1 species